UUUGUCUUUGCAAAAUAUUGUGCAUUUCACUCUUUGGAACCUCUCAGAUGGUUCUUUGGUGCAGCACCACCCCAGGGGACACUUGGCUGCUGUCCUGAAGGGGUUGGUCGCUAGAAUUGUAAAUCCUGGAGAGUUUGUAAGUCUUCUGUCCCCAGGGAGGUGUCAUGCUUUGUUUACUUUUGUUCUGUUGGUUAGGCGCUGCUUCUCGUUGCAAGUAUGAAUUUCAAACUGCCCUGUUCUUAUUUUAACUGUUUUCCUGGUUCUCUCUGUCCGGCAGGGAAAGACUCUCGUAUCCUUGUCGUCGGGCUCGGUGCUGUCCAAGAAGAUACAGAGACUAAAAAAAUCAUAAGAAGCAAAAUAUGACUGCAGGGAAAAGAAGCUGGAGAGAACAGAAGACUCAUCACGGCGGGACAGCGUGAGGACUGAAAGUGUAAGAAGAUGUGGAGGGAAAGAGAGAAUCUGACAGGAGCAGCGAACGCACGAGUGCACGAAUUUUGCUUUUUGCUUGGAUGUAAACUCAGGAGUUGAAAGGAAUUUGGGAGUGAGAAGGGACAUUUCAGAAGGAGAAGAAGAAAAAGAAGUUGUUGUUGCUACAGUCCUGGCAAAAGCUUUUGUUCUAGCUAAUAAAAGAAGUUAGUUUAAAAAACAAAAA